AUGGAAGCAGUAAACAUGUCCGCCGCCGCCGAUUGGUCUGGCCUACCAAUGGCGGCGCUGGAUGUUCCCAGCCUCGUCCGUUCCGGCGCCGUCUGCACGUCCUGGAGCGACGCCUACAACACCUUCCGCCUCCCCGCGCUGAAGCAAGCGCCGUGCCUGCUCUACGCCUGCGACGAGUACGGCCCCAACUACGCCGCCCUGUACUGCCCCUCCACCAACGCCACCUUCCGCGUCCCCUACCCGGGUCCCCCGCACGAGAAGCGGAGCUUCGUCUUCUCAUGUCACGGCUGGGUGUUCGCCACCGACGAGGUCGGCGACCCGUACCUCCUCAACCCCAUCACCGGCGUCCAGGCCGCGCUCCCGCCAGUCAAGACGAUCAUGGUCCGCGGUGAGAACUUCUACGACCAUGAAGGCAAGCAUGUCUUGGACCUCGAGAGUGAGGAUGAGAACGGAGAUCCGAAAACCGGCAUCUUCUGGGCACGAGAGGCGGAGUAUGCCCGGGUCGCCAUCUCCCCCGCAGCCGAGGUGACCGCAUGCACUGUCCUGAUUAUGCAUAUGACGCGUUUUACGCUCUUGUUUGCCAGGCCGGGCGACAAGCGCUGGACGUCGCUCCCCGACUUUGAAACCUGCAUCAAGGAUGUUCUUUAUAACGACAUGGACGGCUUGUUCUACGUUCUACACAAUAAAGGUUCCAUCCAUGCUUUGGAUCUCAAUGGAUCUUCGCCGUCGGUGACCAAGAUCACGCGAAACGUGACAAGAGCGAGUGUUGCCAAUAUGUACCUCGCCGUCAUGCCAUCGGGCCAACUCCUGCAGGUGUGGAGGAUGCAGAAUAACAUAGAUGUUCCGCUCAAGAAUCAUGCGUCAUACAAAGACGUGGUGCGCGUCGCGCUCCAAGAUUGCAUUGAUUUGGCAAACAAGAAUGACAGCGACAAGCUCAGUGAAACCGUCACCGAUGACGAACAACAGAUUGACGUUGAGGAGGAGGAGCUGCGUGAUAAUGAGGUCAACACAACGGAAGUCCUGGUCUUCAAGGUUGACGCAAAUAGGCAGAAGCUGGUAGAGCUUCGGGACAUUGGAGAGUACACAAUCUUCCUUGGAUUCAAUGCCGCUGUCUGCCUUUCGACUAAGGACACAACAUUAGAAGCAAACUGCAUCUAUCUCACGGACGAUGUCGACUCUCCAUCCUAUCACCCGAUGUUGCGGAGAGAUCUUGGUAUAUGGAACAUCAAGAAGAGAAGUAUGCAGAAACUUGGGGAUGCGUGGCCAAUCAUGCAUUCUUGGCUAGAUUUACCGGCUCCAAUUUGGAUCACACCAAGUUUAGCAUGGACGGCGUGCUUGGCGCCGCCAAUUGCAGGGAGCGCGGCGACCACGGCGCCGCAUGCGAGGAGGAGGAGUGGACGACGCCGCGUUCGACAACGUCGAUGA
rnacentral:rRNA from 1 species